AUUCGCCCUUAGAGUUUGAUCCUGGCUCAGGACGAACGCUGGCGGCGUGCCUAACACAUGCAAGUCGAGCGAGUGGAGUUCUUCGGAACAAAGCUAGCGGCGGACGGGUGAGUAACACGUGGGCAACCUGCCUCAUAGAGGGGAAUAGCCUCCCGAAAGGGAGAUUAAUACCGCAUAAGAUUGUAGCUUCGCAUGAAGUAGCAAUUAAAGGAGCAAUCCGCUAUGAGAUGGGCCCGCGGCGCAUUAGCUAGUUGGUGAGGUAACGGCUCACCAAGGCGACGAUGCGUAGCCGACCUGAGAGGGUGAUCGGCCACAUUGGGACUGAGACACGGCCCAGACUCCUACGGGAGGCAGCAGUGGGGAAUAUUGCACAAUGGGGGAAACCCUGAUGCAGCAACGCCGCGUGAGUGAUGACGGCCUUCGGGUUGUAAAGCUCUGUCUUCAGGGACGAUAAUGACGGUACCUGAGGAGGAAGCCACGGCUAACUACGUGCCAGCAGCCGCGGUAAUACGUAGGUGGCGAGCGUUGUCCGGAAUUAUUGGGCGUAAAGAGCUCGUAGGCGGUUUGUCGCGUCUGCCGUGAAAGUCCGGGGCUCAACUCCGGAUCUGCGGUGGGUACGGGCAGACUAGAGUGAUGUAGGGGAGACUGGAAUUCCUGGUGUAGCGGUGAAAUGCGCAGAUAUCAGGAGGAACACCGAUGGCGAAGGCAGGUCUCUGGGCAUUAACUGACGCUGAGGAGCGAAAGCAUGGGGAGCGAACAGGAUUAGAUACCCUGGUAGUCCAUGCCGUAAACGUUGGGCACUAGGUGUGGGGGACAUUCCACGUUUUCCGCGCCGUAGCUAACGCAUUAAGUGCCCCGCCUGGGGAGUACGGCCGCAAGGCUAAAACUCAAAGGAAUUGACGGGGGCCCGCACAAGCGGCGGAGCAUGCGGAUUAAUUCGAUGCAACGCGAAGAACCUUACCAAGGCUUGACAUGAACUGGAAAUACCUAGAAAUAGGUGCCCCGCUUGCGGUCGGUUUACAGGUGGUGCAUGGUUGUCGUCAGCUCGUGUCGUGAGAUGUUGGGUUAAGUCCCGCAACGAGCGCAACCCUCGUUCUAUGUUGCCAGCACGUUAUGGUGGGGACUCAUAGGAGACUGCCGGGGUCAACUCGGAGGAAGGUGAGGACGACGUCAAAUCAUUAUGCCCCUUAUGUCUUGGGCUUCACGCAUGCUACAGUGGCCGGUACAAUGGGUUGCGAUACUGUGAGGUGGAGCUAAUCCCAAAAAGCCGGUCUCAGUUCGGAUUGGGGUCUGCAACUCGACCCCAUGAAGUCGGAGUCGCUAGUAAUCGCAGAUCAGCAACGCUGCGGUGAAUACGUUCCCGGGCCUUGCACACACCGCCCGUCA
rnacentral:rRNA from 1 species